AACCGUCUGGAAACGUCCAACCGGCAUGUUUAUUCAGCGCAAUCCCGACCAGUUCUAUCUGAAUUCGGAUUCCCUUGUCCAUAAAACUCAAGUCGAAUUCCUAGCGUUUCUUUCUCCUCUUUCGAUCUCGGCCGAAACUUCCGACCCCUGCCGAAACUUCCGAUCUUGCGAAUUUGCCCUAAUUCGAUUUCUCGCGCGAUUCCUUUCUUGCCGCCUCCCCCAACCAUGGCCGCAGCAGCGCAUCUGCUCCCCCGCGCGCGCCUUGACCAUCUUGGCCGCUGAUGAUCCCGUCGAGAUCUUGGUGCGGCGCGACCGUGUCGCCAAGAAAGGCCUUGACGAGGAGCAACGCCGCGAUGAGACUGACACCCGUGGAUGGUCGUCGGCCAUCCCGGACCACAGCUCGUUUCUGCGCCGCCGCGGAGGAUAUUAAUUGGGGUUUGACCUUCACUAUUUGUCAAGGUAAUUUUCUUGCCAAACUGCACCGCUCCAUCCCAAUAUAUGCUUUUAGUUAAAGUUUAGGGUAACUACGAAACAAAGAUGGAUAUGUGUUUUCUUUACUUUUCAGCAGUUGUACAUCUCUGUGCUUGUUUUAGGAGUUCUUAUUGCAUCUGGUCAUGACAUAUUUUCCUCAUAAUUAGUGAAAUAUUUCAAAUAUAAGCCAUUGCGUUAUUCUUGUUGUUUACAGGACUGUACCUUUCCAUAUAUAGACAAUAGCAACAUUAGGGAUGUUAUAGACUGUGCGAUUUCUUUUGAGAAGUCUUUCCUGGUGCUGUCUUAUUCACCAGACAUUUGUAGAACUAUGCAAUACUUGCAAAAGUUCUUGAUCACUCUUGUUUUGUUAUGCAUAUACAAAAAAAGGGAUAUUAGUGAUAUGUGCUUAUGUCUUGAAAGGAUUUUUCUUGACUUGAACAUUAAGAAGCUAGAAAAGAUAUCUGCGUUUGAACUUCACUAUUUCCAACUGUCAUUUUCUUGCUAAAUUUUGUUGCCCCAUCAUAUGCUUUUAGUUUAAGUUUAGUUUGGCUAAAAACUUCAGAGUAUGUAUCAUCUUUUUAUAUUUCAGUAGUUUUGUCAUUGGCAAUACAGAUGCUCAAAAUUCAUUCUGAGGUAUUUGCUUCUACUUAGGAUUCACCUGCAUGUAAGAUGAUUGAACCUUUUGUUGAGUAACACGCAAUAGUCCAUGCAAGACGAUACAUCUUGCUCCUUUAUUCAAAUUACACACAAUAAAAAAUGUUUCUGUAGUGUGAGACGCAGCAACCUCACAAAUUCUUGGAACUGCAUGCUUUGGUUUAGUGUUCUAAUGUUUCCUCUAAUUUGCUGAGACCCGUAAAAGGUUAGUGUCGCUCUUACUCUACACUAUUUCCAGUCUUGUUUCUUACUCCCUCCGAUCCUAAAUUGUUGUCGAAAUAUUACAUGUAUCUAGACGCCUUUUAAUAGUAGAUACAUUCAUAUUUGGGCAAAUUUGAGACAAGGAUUUAGGAUCGGAGAUAGUAAUUGAUUAGUCUGGUUGUCUCCCUUGCAGGAUCAUGCGGUGCUUUUCUGUAUGAUAAUAAUGCAUACAUUCAUUUGAUGGCGAGGUAUAUUGAUUGGAUUUUGCUCCGGUCGUCAUCAUUUCAGUUCAGAAAGCAUGUUCUACGGAUCUAAAAUCCUUACGCCUAGUGUUACCUAAUCCCUGUACUAACUCCCUUCACUCAAUUCCCAAACAAGCUGAUGGGGAUUUUGGUCUAGAAGCCAUUGAAGAUCGAUCAGAAAUACUUUUGAAGAGGAAGGAGCAAUGAAAGCCCUCGGAGCCUAAGGCCAUGUCCAACGCAGGAGUUAGUACGGGCGCUAGUGAAAUAAUUCCCACCCGUUUUGCCAUCGUGGGACUCAAUCCCGAGCACAUGGCUGGCUUCGGCUCUUCCUGUGGAGUCGGGCGCUCAGCCAUUUCUUCCAGUGAGUUCUGUGGAUGGAAAUCUUCACCAAGCGUCGGUAGAGCAGCUGAUUGCAUUGGAAGUAGACUGCUGGAGUAGACGGGAGCUGAUAUCGAAUUGUUAAGCGCCUGUGCACUUUCCACUGGACAUGGCCUAAAAGGAAGUUCUGAGGCCCUGAAUUAUAUUAGUUUCAUUUUUCCUUUUUUCUUGCGCAUAUUAUUUUUGUUUUUACGCCUGUAAUAUUUCAGAACUUGAACGUGCCUGUGUCAGUAUUGUACUGUGUAUGAAUCUAGUACUGUAAAUAAUAUUUAGUGGCAUAUAUCUGAAUUUCGUA